AUGGAACCAAGCCGACAGGAGCAGAGAAAAACAAGAAAGACCCUUCUCUCUGCUUCCUCCCUCCAAUCCCCCAUAGCGUCUGCAGUUGGUAGAAACCAAGAGAAAAUUAGCAAACUUUGCAUUCUGGGAAAUGUACUUCACAGGGGCACAAAGGUGGUGGUUUUCUCUGCUCCAGAAAUCAAGCAUCCAAUACGACAACAAGCGAAUGUUGUAGUCAUCUACCAGAUUAAAGCACAAGUAACAUGCAGAGAAGCAGGAAGCCUGAGGAGAGAGAUCUCUGCUUACUGUGUCUUUAGAACAAAAAUGGGGAUUUUCAACUUCGCAACUCUGAACUGA
rnacentral:lncRNA from 1 species